rnacentral:rRNA from 11 species
UCUAUUUGAAGUUAUUUAUAGUCUAGCCUGCUCAGUGACAUUAAAGGUGUUAAAUAGCCGCGGUAUCCUGACCGUGCAAAGGUAGCAUAAUCAUUAGUUUUUUAAUUGAGAACUUGUAUGAAGGGUUGGACAAAGAAAAAGCUGUCUCUUUAAUUAAGAUUGAAAUUAACCUCUAAGUGAAAAGGCUUAGAUUGUCUAGAGGGACGAUAAGACCCUAUAAAGCUUUAUAAUGUUAAAAAUUCUAUGUAUUUUAUCUUAUAGAAAUGAGUUUUAAACCAUUUAUUGAGUUGGGGCGACAAAGGUAUAAUUUAAAGUAACUGCCGAUAAAUGUUACAAUUAUGUUUGUAUUAAAUAAUGUAUAGUUGAUCCCUUUUAAGGAUUAGGAGAUCAAGUUACUUUAGGGAUAACAGCGUAAUUUCACCUGAGAGUUCUUAUCAAAGGAGAAGUUUGCGACCUCGAUGUUGAAUUAAAAUGUCUUUAUAGUGCAGC